rnacentral:rRNA from 1 species
GCGGCAUGCCUUACACAUGCAAGUCGAACGGCAGCACGGGAGCAAUCCUGGUGGCGAGUGGCGAACGGGUGAGUAACACGUGGGAACGUGCCUUUAGGUUCGGAAUAACUCAGGGAAACUUGUGCUAAUACCGAAUGUGCCCUUCGGGGGAAAGAUUUAUCGCCUUUAGAGCGGCCCGCGUCUGAUUAGCUAGUUGGUGAGGUAAUGGCUCACCAAGGCUACGAUCAGUAGCUGGUCUGAGAGGAUGACCAGCCACAUUGGGACUGAGACACGGCCCAAACUCCUACGGGAGGCAGCAGUGGGGAAUCUUGCUCAAUGGGCGAAAGCCUGACGCAGCCAUGCCGCGUGGAUGAUGAAGGUCUUAGGAUUGUAAAAUUCUUUCACCGGGGACGAUAAUGACGGUACCCGGAGAAGAAGCCCCAGCUAACUUCGUGCCAGCCGCAGCAGUAAGAC